GACGUAGGGGGCCAGCGUUGUUCGGAAUUACUGGGCGUAAAGGGCGCGUAGGCGGCCGCCUAAGUCAGACGUGAAAUCCCUCGGCUCAACCGGGGAACUGCGUCUGAUACUGGGUGGCUUGAAUUCGGGAGAGGGAUGCGGAAUUCCAGGUGUAGCGGUGAAAUGCGUAGAUAUCUGGAGGAACACCGGUGGCGAAGGCGGCAUCCUGGACCGGUAUUGACGCUGAGGCGCGAAAGCUAGGGGAGCAAACGGG
rnacentral:rRNA from 1 species